rnacentral:rRNA from 1 species
GUAACGCGUAUGCAACCUACCUAUCAGAGGGGAAUAACCGGCGAAAGUCGGACUAAUACCGCAUAAAACAGGGGCACCGCAUGGUGAUAUUUGUUAAAGAAAUUCGCUGAUAGAUGGGCAUGCGUUCCAUUAGGUAGUUGGUGAGGUAACGGCUCACCAAGCCGACGAUGGAUAGGGAACUGAGAGGUUGGUCCCCCACACUGGUACUGAGACACGGACCAGACUCCUACGGGAGGCAGCAGUGAGGAAUAUUGGUCAAUGGGCGGGAGCCUGAACCAGCCAAGUCGCGUAGAAGGAAGAAGGAUCUAUGGUUACGUAAACUUUCUUUUGCGAGGGGAAUAAAGUGCAGGACGUGUCCUGUUUUGUAUGUACCCUGAGAAUAAGGAUCGGCUAACUCCGUGCCAGCAGCCGC